rnacentral:rRNA from 1 species
GAUGAACGCUGGCGGCGUGCCUAAUACAUGCAAGUCGAGCGAACAGACGAGGAGCUUGCUCCUCUGACGUUAGCGGCGGACGGGUGAUUAACACGUGGAUAACCUACCUAUAAGACUGGGAUAACUUCGGGAAACCGGAGCUAAUACCGGAUAAUAUAUUGAACCGCAUGGUUCAAUAGUGAAAGACGGUUUUGCUGUCACUUAUAGAUGGAUCCGCGCCGCAUUAGCUAGUUGGUAAGGUAACGGCUUAACAAGGCAACGAUGCGUAGCCGACCUGAGAGGGUGAUCGGACACACUGGAACUGAGACACGGUCCAGACUCCUACGGGGGGCAGCAGUAGGGAAUCUUCCGCGAUGGGCGAAAGCCUGACGGAGCAACGCCGCGUGAGUGAUGAAGGUCUUCGGAUCGUAAAACUAUGUUAUUAGGGAAGAACAAAUGUGUAAGUAACUAUGCACGUCUUGACGGUACCUAAUCAGAAAGCCACGGCUAACUACGUG